UCUUCCUCGGAAGAGAGCGGCGGACGGGUGAGUAACGCGUGGGUAACCUGCCUCAUACACAUGGAUAACAUACCGAAAGGUAUGCUAAUACAAGAUGAUAUAAGAGAUUCGCAUGGAUUUCUUAUCAAAGCUCCGGCGGUAUGAGAUGGACCCGCGUCUGAUUAGCUAGUUGGUAAGGUAACGGCUUACCAAGGCGACGAUCAGUAGCCGACCUGAGAGGGUGGUCGGCCACAUUGGAACUGAGACACGGUCCAAACUCCUACGGGAGGCAGCAGUGGGGAAUAUUGCACAAUGGGCGAAAGCCUGAUGCAGCAACGCCGCGUGAGCGAUGAAGGCCUUCGGGUCGUAAAGCUCUGUCCACAAGGAAGAUAAUGACGGUACUUGAGGAGGAAGCCCCGGCUAACUACGUGCCAGCAGCCGCGGUAAUACGUAGGGGGCUAGCGUUAUCCGGAUUUACUGGGCGUAAAGGGUGCGUAGGUGGUUUCUUAAGUCAGGAGUGAAAGGCUACGGCUCAAUCGUAGUAAGCUCUUGAAACUGGGAAACUUGAGUGCAGGAGAGGAAAGUGGAAUUCCUAGUGUAGCGGUGAAAUGCGUAGAUAUUAGGAGGAACACCAGUAGCGAAGGCGGUUUUCUGGACUGUAACUGACACUGAGGCACGAAAGCGUGGGGAGCAAACAGGAUUAGAUACCCUGGUAGUCCACGCCGUAAACGAUGAGUACUAGGUGUCGGGGGUUACCCCCCUC
rnacentral:rRNA from 1 species